rfam:Gorilla gorilla gorilla genomic chromosome, chr4, whole genome shotgun sequence
UAUUAGGUUGGUGCAAAAGUAAUUGUGCUUUUUGCCAUUUAAAGUAAUGGCAAAACCACAAUUACUUUUGCACCAACCUAAUA